rnacentral:rRNA from 1 species
UACGUAGGGGGCAAGCGUUGUCCGGAUUUAUUGGGCGUAAAGAGCGUGUAGGCGGCUUGGUAGGUCCGCUGUGAAAACUCGAGGCUCAACCUCGAGAUGUCGGCGGAAACCACUUGGCUAGAGUCCGGAAGAGGAGAGUGGAAUUCCUGGUGUAGCGGUGGAAUGCGCAGAUAUCAGGAGGAACACCAAUAGCGAAGGCAGCUCGCUGGGACGGUACUGACGCUAAGGCGCGAAAGCGUGGGGAGCGAACAGG